rnacentral:misc_RNA from 1 species
GAAAUGCGAUAAGUAAUGUGAAUUGCAGAAUUCAGUGAAUCAUCAAAUCUUUGAACGCAAAUUGCGCUCUCGGGAUAGGCCUGGGAGCACGCCUCUUUGAGUAUCGUUUCAACCACAACUCGAAAGCGUGCUUAAUUGCAUCGCUGACGGAAAUUGAGUGUCUCGAGAAAUUUGAGACACUUUAAAUGAAGCGAGUGACAUGAUUCAGAUUUGAAAUGCUCUUUGUCUCGAGUGACGAGGAUAACUUCACAUUCAUUUGUGAACCCUUCCAUCGUGACUUCAGAGGCUCGGAUUGUUUCGCGGUCUGUGAUCAAUAUGUCACGGAACUCUGUUGCUCGUCCCCUGCGGCGACUGCAGAACGUUUUUGAACUAGAUCUCAAAUGAAGCGAGAAAACCCGCU